GCCUAAUACAUGCAAGUCGAGCGAAUGGAUUAAGAGCUUGCUCUUAUGAAGUUAGCGGCGGACGGGUGAGUAACACGUGGGUAACCUGCCCAUAAGACUGGGAUAACUCCGGGAAACCGGGGCUAAUACCGGAUAACAUUUUGAACCGCAUGGUUCAAAAUUGAAAGGCGGCUUCGGCUGUCACUUAUGGAUGGACCCGCGUCGCAUUAGCUAGUUGGUGAGGUAACGGCUCACCAAGGCAACGAUGCGUAGCCGACCUGAGAGGGUGAUCGGCCACACUGGGACUGAGACACGGCCCAGACUCCUACGGGAGGCAGCAGUAGGGAAUCUUCCGCAAUGGACGAAAGUCUGACGGAGCAACGCCGCGUGAGUGAUGAAGGCUUUCGGGUCGUAAAACUCUGUUGUUAGGGAAGAACAAGUGCUAGUUGAAUAAGCUGGCACCUUGACGGUACCUAACCAGAAAGCCACGGCUAACUACGUGCCAGCAGCCGCGGUAAUACGUAGGUGGCAAGCGUUAUCCGGAAUUAUUGGGCGUAAAGCGCGCGCAGGUGGUUUCUUAAGUCUGAUGUGAAAGCCCACGGCUCAACCGUGGAGGGUCAUUGGAAACUGGGAGACUUGAGUGCAGAAGAGGAAAGUGGAAUUCCAUGUGUAGCGGUGAAAUGCGUAGAGAUAUGGAGGAACACCAGUGACGAAGGCGACUUUCUGGUCUGUAACUGACCCUGAGGCGCGAAAGCGUGGGGAGCAAACAGGAUUAGAUACCCUGAUAGUCCACGCCGUAACCGAUGAGUGCUAAGUGUUAGAGGGUUUCCGCCCUUUAGUGCUGAAGUUAACGCAUUAAGCACUCCGC
rnacentral:rRNA from 1 species